GCCUGGGUGGCUCAGUUGGUUGAGCGUCCGACUUCGGCUCAGGUCAUGAUCUCGUGGUCCGUGGGUUCGAGCCCCGUGUCGGGCU
rnacentral:tRNA from 1 species